rnacentral:tRNA from 1 species
GUAAGUAUAGUUUAAAAAAAAACAUUAGAUUGUGAAUCUAAUAAUAGGAGCUUAUACCUCCUUAUUUGCC